GAGUUCGUGGCUCGGGAUGUCAUUCGGUCUACGAAACCGAAGGUCACUGGCUCGAAUCCAGUCGGGCGCGC
rnacentral:tRNA from 1 species